GCUACGGGAGGCAGCAGUGAGGAAUAUUGGUCAAUGGCCGGAAGGCUGAACCAGCCAAGCCGCGUGAAGGACGAAGGUGCCAAGCAUUGUAAACUUCUUUUGUCAAGGGACAAAAUCAGGCUCGAGAGCCUGACCGAGGGUACUUGAAGAAAAAGCAUCGGCUAACUCCGUGCCAGCAGCCGCGGUAAGACGGAGUAUGCGAGCGUUAUCCGGAUUUAUUGGGUUUAAAGGGUGCGUAGGCGGGCUGUUAAGUCAGCGUUAAAAGCCCGGUGCUAAACCCCGGCGAGCCGGUGAAACUGGCUGUCGUGAAAUGUCGAGAGGUAUGCGGAAUGCGCAGGGUAGCGGUGAAAUGCUUAGAUAUUGCGCAGAACUCCGAUUGCGAAGGCAGCAUACCGGCGGCGAUCUGACGCUGAGGCACGAAAGCGUGGGUAUCGAACAGGAUUAGAUACCCGGGUAGUC
rnacentral:rRNA from 1 species